rnacentral:rRNA from 1 species
ACUCUCGUUAGAUUGAAGAAGCUUGCUUCUGAUUGAUAACAUUUGAGUGAGUGGCGGACGGGUGAGUAACACGUGGGUAACCUGCCCUAAAGUGGGGGAUAACAUUUGGAAACAGAUGCUAAUACCGCAUAAAACCUAGCACCGCAUGGUGCAAGGUUGAAAGAUGGUUUCGGCUAUCACUUUAGGAUGGACCCGCGGUGCAUUAGUUAGUUGGUGAGGUAAAGGCUCACCAAGACCGUGAUGCAUAGCCGACCUGAGAGGGUAAUCGGCCACACUGGGACUGAGACACGGCCCAGACUCCUACGGGAGGCAGCAGUAGGGAAUCUUCCACAAUGGACGAAAGUCUGAUGGAGCAACGCCGCGUGAGUGAAGAAGGUUUUCGGAUCGUAAAACUCUGUUGUUGGAGAAGAACGUAUUUGAUAGUAACUGAUCAGGUAGUGACGGUAUCCAACCAGAAAGCCACGGCUAACUACGUGCCAGCAGCCGCGGUAAUACGUAGGUGGCAAGCGUUGUCCGGAUUUAUUGGGCGUAAAGCGAGCGCAGGCGGUUUCUUAAGUCUGAUGUGAAAGCCUUCGGCUCAACCGAAGAAGUGCAUCGGAAACUGGGAAACUUGAGUGCAGAAGAGGACAGUGGAACUCCAUGUGUAGCGGUGAAAUGCGUAGAUAUAUGGAAGAACACCAGUGGCGAAGGCGGCUGUCUGGUCUGUAACUGACGCUGAGGCUCGAAAGCAUGGGUAGCAAACAGGAUUAGAUACCCUGGUAGUCCAUGCCGUAAACGAUGAGUGCUAGGUGUUGGAGGGUUUCCGCCCUUCAGUGCCGCAGCUAACGCAUUAAGCACUCCGCCUGGGGAGUACGACCGCAAGGUUGAAACUCAAAGGAAUUGACGGGGGCCCGCACAAGCGGUGGAGCAUGUGGUUUAAUUCGAAGCAACGCGAAGAACCUUACCAGGUCUUGACAUCCUUUGACCACUCUAGAGAUAGAGCUUUCCCUUCGGGGACAAAGUGACAGGUGGUGCAUGGUUGUCGUCAGCUCGUGUCGUGAGAUGUUGGGUUAAGUCCCGCAACGAGCGCAACCCUUAUUACUAGUUGCCAGCAUUUAGUUGGGCACUCUAGUGAGACUGCCGGUGACAAACCGGAGGAAGGUGGGGACGACGUCAAAUCAUCAUGCCCCUUAUGACCUGGGCUACACACGUGCUACAAUGGAUGGUACAACGAGUCGCGAGACCGCGAGGUUUAGCUAAUCUCUUAAAACCAUUCUCAGUUCGGAUUGUAGGCUGCAACUCGCCUACAUGAAGCCGGAAUCGCUAGUAAUCGCGGAUCAGCAUGCCGCGGUGAAUACGUUCCCGGGCCUUGUACACACCGCCCGUCACACCAUGAGAGUUUGUA